GUGCCAGGUUACAACUCUGGCUGUCGUGAUGCCUAAAAAGCAUUGCAUAGCAAGGGCCGGGCAAGACCGGUGCCAGCCGCCGCGGUAACACCGGCGGCUCGAGUGGUAACCGUUAUUAUUGGGUCUAAAGGGUCUGUAGCCGGCCGGAUAAGUCUCUUGGGAAAUCUGGCAGCUUAACUGUCAGGCUUUCAGGAGAUACUGUCUGGCUCGAGGCCGGGAGAGGUGAGAUGUACUUCAGGGGUAGGGGUGAAAU
rnacentral:rRNA from 1 species